GCGAGUUUUAAUUGUUAGGUUAGAGUUGAGCUGGUUAAUCUGAUUAAUAUGUGCUUACUCUAAUCGAAACAAGUCCACUCAUUACUUAACACUUGUGAACUUAUUCAUUACAAACAUUAUUAUUUGUUAUUGGAACGUUUGAUUAUUAAAAAGUUAAUA
rnacentral:misc_RNA from 1 species